GGUUUCGAAGAUCGCGCCGGUGCCUCGAAAGAGGCUUAAAACGGGAAGGCGGUGCGGGUGGUUUUCCGCCCAACUCCGCAGCUGUCCCUGCAACUGUAAGCGGCGAGCGCGAUGCACAUCGUUUCCUCCCAGUCGGGGGAAGCAGCCACUGGGCCGGACGCUAAGUCAUGCGGGGCCUGGGAAGGCGUGCAUCAAGCCCUGACCCGCGAGCCAGGAGACCUGCCGGCGUUCUGGUCGCUCU
rnacentral:ncRNA from 2 species